rnacentral:rRNA from 1 species
AGGAAAAGAAACUAACAAGGAUUCCCCUAGUAACGGCGAGUGAAGCGGGAUGAGCUCAAAUUUGUAAUCUGGUGGACUCAGUUCAUCCGAAUUGUAAUCUAUAGAAAAGUUUUCCGCGCUGGACCGUGUCUAAGUCCCUUGGAACAGGGUGUCAGAGAGGGUGAGAAUCCCGUGCUUGAUACGACCACCAGUGCUAUGUGAUACUUUUUCAACGAGUCGAGUUGUUUGGGAAUGCAGCUCAAAAUGGGUGGUAAAUUCCAUCUAAAGCUAAAUAUUGGCGAGAGACCGAUAGCGAACAAGUACCGUGAGGGAAAGAUGAAAAGCACUUUGGAAAGAGAGUUAAACAGUACGUGAAAUUGUUAAAAGGGAAACGAUUGAAGUCAGUCGUGCUCUCUAGGACUCAGCCAGUUCUUCUGGUGUAUUUCCUAGUGAGCGGGUCAACAUCAGUUUAGAUCGCUGGAUAAGGUCAUUAGGAAUGUGGCUCCCUCGGGAGUGUUAUAGCCUAGUGUCGCAUACAGUGGUUUAGACUGAGGAACGCAGCUCGCCUUUAUGGCCGGGGUUCGCCCACGUCCGAGCUUAGGAUGUUGACAUAAUGGCUUUAAACGACCCGU